AUCAACUCAACAAGCCAAACAAAAAGACGAAGUUUAAAAAAAAGAAAUGUUACCGUUAUCUCGCUUUUUUCCAAGUUACACUUGAGUGAAAACAACGUUUAAAGCGUAAAAAAGAAAACGUAAGGGGAACAUGUCAGCUGGGAUAUGACUGCUUCAUCAACAGCAUGGUUUUAAUACUGCUGCUAAAAGAGAUUGAACCCUCAUCAUGUGGAUACUUCCAGGCACUUCAACUGUUUCAAUCUUUCCCACUGAUCAUCAAUGAUGCUGCCAGCAUCAUCUCUUUCAUGUCAGCACUCUUGCAGCGAGGUUAACAAACCCUGGGUUGACUUAUCCCAUUUGUGACGAGCUUCACGUGGCUGCUGAUGUUAGGAUAAGAAAACCUGGACCAAGAAAUAGAUCCUGGAUAUGUGGAGCUAGUUUCAGAGUGCAGGGCCGAGCUCUGAAGCUGCUUUUAUGUCUCAGGGUAAAGAAAACUAUUUGUUUCUACACUACAUGAAAAGUUUGGACUUACC